UCCCUAGUAGUUCAGUUGGUGAAGAAUCUGCCUGUAAUGCAGGAGACCCAGGUUCGAUUCCUGGGUUGGGAA
rnacentral:tRNA from 1 species